rnacentral:snRNA from 1 species
AUACUUACUUGGUGCCGGUAACUCCGUAAUCAGGAAGGCGGAGACCCCAGGAGGAGGCCCUUUUAUUGCACUUCGGAAGGGCUGGGACCUUGCCAGUCUCCCGCUCUGGGAAGGAUGAUGCAUGUAAUUUUUGGUAGAGGGGGUUCCGCGAACGCAGACCCCCA